rnacentral:rRNA from 1 species
CCUACGGGUGACAGCAGUGAGGAAUAUUGGUCAAUGGCCGGAAGGCUGAACCAGCCAUGCCGCGUGAAGGUCAGUGCCCUAUGGGCGUUAAACUUCUUUUGUGCGGGAGCAAUAAUGGUCACGUGUGGCCAGACGAGAGUACCGUACGAAUAAGCAUCGGCUAACUCCGUGCCAGCAGCCGCGGUAAUACGGGGGAUGCAAGCGUUAUCCGGAUUUAUUGGGUUUAAAGGGUGCGUAGGCUGUGAGGUAAGUCAGCGGUGAAAUGCCCCCGCUCAACGGGGUGAAGUGCCAUUGAUACUGCCUUGGUGGAAUGCGGAUGCCGUGGGAGGAAUGUGUGGGGUAGCGGGGAAAUGCAUAGAUAUCACACAGAACAACGAUUGCGAAGGCAUCUCACGAAUCCGCGAUUGACGCUGAUGCACGAAAGCGUGGGUAUCAAACAGGAUUAGAUACCCGGGUAGUC